UACGUAGGGCGCAAGCGUUAUCCGGAAUUAUUGGGCGUAAAGAGCUCGUAGGCGGUUUGUCGCGUCUGCCGUGAAAGUCCGGGGCUCGACUCCGGAUCUGCGGUGGGUACGGGGAGACUAGAGUGAUGUAGGGGAGACUGGAAUUCCUGGUGUAGCGGUGAAAUGCGCAGAUAUCAGGAGGAACACCGAUGGCGAAGGCAAGUCUCUGGGCAUUAACUGACGCUGAGGAGCGAAAGCAAGGGGAGCGAACAGG
rnacentral:rRNA from 1 species